GGUGAUUUUUCAAAUUCAAGUCACUAUUGCUGCCUGAAUUCUGUUUCUUUGCAAAAUUUUACCAUUUUAUGACUUUCAUACCUAAUUUAUCACUUAGACUUUUAUAACAAUAAUUAACUUCAUCCUUGACCAUUUAAACAACCAUUCAUCAUCAAAUACUUACACAUCAUUCUAUAGUAAAAUCAUAUUUACAAAUAUACAAAAUUACUAAAUUCCUAUACAUGCCAUAACUAAAAGAAAUGUUCACCACCACAAUUAGCUCAGAAUCGGCUUUGGAUGCUGAUUCAACAAUCCGACUUUGACCUAACCUGCGCACGGAAACAACCGUACGCUGAGUAUGGAAAUACUCAGUGGUAUUACCAUAAUUCGAAUUAAUAACAUUAAUCGAUAAAUUAUAUACAUUUUAUUUAUGUCUACAAUUAUUCAUUAAUUAUCUCAUGCAUUAAAUCAACUUGAUAAUUAAUAACAAUAAGCUAUAAUUCAAAUCUUGUAUUUAAUUGUAUUCAUACCUUAUUUCACUAUCUCAAUUCCAUUGGAUUUUUCUUUACAUCUCAUUCCAAUAGUUCAUUUCAAUUCAUAUACAAUUCAUUUCAUUUAAUUUAUAUUCAAUAUAAAUUUUAUUGCAAUUUGUACUCACUAAUAUCAUAUAACAAAAUUUACUCUUUAUCACAUCAUGAACUUUGGGCUCAUAUCUUUAAAUCUCUUAUUUCGAUUUCCAAUUCACACAUCAAUUCACAACUUCACUUUUUCGUUUCUUCCCAUAGCUCAAUCAAUCACAUUUAUUCAAUUUUCUCAUUUCAAUUAUUUACCCCUAUUAACAAGACUCGGACCUUGGCGGAUACACGGAUCCAACCAAACACACCAAAAUGGCACCCAGUGCCUCAUCGGAUAGUUCGACGCAAUAGUUGACACCCAGUGUCUCAUCGGCCCAGCCGAAGUAAAGUUGGUACCCAGUACCUCAUCGAAUCUAUCCGAAGAAAUAUAGUGACACCCAGUGUCUCAUCGACUCAAGGUCGAAGUAUCCCUGAACUCUUCCAAUCCUAUGGCAUGCCAACUAUAUCCGACUCAGCCCGACUAGUUAAUAGGGUUUCCGAAUCACAUUUCAAUUCAAUCACUUUCUCAUACUUUCAAUUCAAAUCAUUCCCAUUUAAUCACCAUUUGUUUCAAUACAUUUUUCUAUUUCAAAUUCACUUUCGAUUUAAUCGCAAUUCAACUCAGAUUCACUUCCCACUUUCAAAUCAAUAUACAAUUCAAUACCAAUACAUAUUUCAGAUAUUCACAUAUAAUCAUACUUCGAUUCAAUUCAAACCACUUUUCAAUCAAUACACAAUUCACAUAUUCACAUAUCUCAAUUUAAUAUCUCAUUUAUUCAAUUCAUAUUUUAAUUCAUUCAAUUAAAUAUUGAUAUUCUCCUUAUUUUUAUUUACUAACAUAUUAUUCAAAAUUCAAUAAUUACUGUCAAUAAAUUCAAUAUCAAUACGUAUAUAUAUUAUUCAAUUCAAUUAUGAAACUCACCUCAAUUUGCUUAUCGUGUAUAUUAAUUUAAUUUUCAACGAUUAAUAAUUAAAUUCGAAUUAUAGUAAUACUAACCGUAAUUUCUCUCGAGUCACUCCUUGUCCACUUUCUCCUUUCCUUUCUCGGACAAUGAUUCGUACACGACAUUAACUACGUAAUUAAACAAUUAAAAAUCAUUAAUACACAAUUUCAUUAAAAUAUUUCCUUUUAUACCUAAACUUUACCCAAAUUCUAAUUUAAUCCCUUACCAAUACUAAUUUUAUUUUUCUCAAUCUAACUCUAUAUUCUCUCUUAAUUCUUACUAAACUCAUAUUUAACUAUUUAAUUUUUAUCAUGUUUUCAUAAUUCCGAAUUUAUUUCAAAUUAAUCCCUAAAAUUCAAAACUUAUAGUUUAGUUUACAAUUCAAUCCUUUAUUCAAUUCCAAUCAAAAUUUCUAUCAAAUACAUCCCUAAUUUAACAAUUUAUUCAACAUGAACCAUGCUUAAUAAUCUACUAACUUUCAAAAUUUCAACUUAAAUCAAGUAGUAUUUUAUUCUAGGAUUUCAAAAAAAAUAUCAAAAUUAAGAGAAAAGGGGAUUAAAUUGACUUACCAAAUUACUUUGAACCUUAAAACCCCGAAUUUCCCUUUUUCUUUUCUUUUCUUUCUUUCUUUCCUUCCUUCCUUCUCUGUUUCGUUUUGCUCUCUGUUUCUUUCUUUCUCCCUUCUCUGUUUUGUUUUGCUCUCUGUUUCUUUUCUUUCUUUCUUUGUCAUAUAUAUAUAUAUAUAUAAUAUAAUAUAAUAUAAAAUAAUAAUAAUAAUCAUUACUUACAUAUAUAUAUAUAUAUUAACUAGAAUAUCUCAGAUAUUUCUUUCAUUAUGCCGCCUCAACUUUAGAAAAAGGCAUAAUUGCCUAUUUGGUCCU
rnacentral:lncRNA from 1 species